AUAUUUACCCUGUUCUGCAGGAGCCAUCAGGAGCGGAUCCAUCGACCUGGGCCUCGCGUGUGGUGUGGAGAGCAUGUCUCUGCGGUCCAUAGGGGAACCAGGAGAUCUGAGCUCCAGGCUGACGGACAUCGACAAGGCCCGAGACUGCAUCAUCCCGAUGGGAAUCACCUCGGAGAACGUCGCCGAGAAGUUCGGCGUCUCCAGAGAAAAGCAGGACGCCUUCGCUCUCAGUUCUCAGCAAAAGUGAGUCACAAACGGCGUUUUUUUGUCGUUGACAUUCGUCAUCAACAGUAGAAACACGUUGAAAUGUUGUUGAGAUUUUGGUGCAUUUUGCUUCAAAAACUUCCUAAUGCUGUAAAAAGUGUUUUGUUUUCUCAGAGCGCAAAGUUAUCAUCGCCAAACCCACCAGAC